rnacentral:rRNA from 1 species
AUACGUAGGGUGCGAGCGUUAAUCGGAAUUACAGGGCGUAAAGCGUGCGCAGGUGGUUUUGUAAGUCAGAUGUGAAAUCCCCGGGCUUAACCUGGGAACUGCGUUUGAAACUGCAAGGCUAGAGUGUGGCAGAGGGGGGUGGAAUUCCGCGUGUAGCAGUGAAAUGCGUAGAUAUGUGGAGGAACACCGAUGGCGAAGGCAGCCCCCUGGGUCAACACUGACGCUCAGGCACGAAAGCAUGGGGAGCAAACAGGAUUAGAAACCCCAGUAGUCC